rnacentral:rRNA from 1 species
AGAUGUUGGGUUAAGUCCCGCAACGAGCGCAACCCUCGUUCCAUGUUGCCAGCACGUCGUGGUGGGGACGUCAUGGGAGACUGCCGGGGUCGAACUCGGAGGAAGGUGAGGACGACGUCAAAUCAUCAUGCCCCUUAUGUCUUGGGCUUCACGCAUGCUACAAUGGCCGGUACAAUGGGUUGCGAUACUGUGAGGUGGAGCUAAUCCCGUAAACCCUGCCUCAGUUCAGAUUGCAGGCUGCAACUCGCCUGCAUGAAGGCGGAAUCGCUAGUAAUCGCAGGUCAGCAUACUGCGGUGAAUCCGUUCCCGCGUCGACGCG